GCCAUGGCAAACUUUAAAGUUUGCACCUUUCAAAUAGAAGUCUGGGAGGGCUCCAUAUGAGUCUUAGUUUAGAUUAAAAGGAAUUUUUAAAACCUCUUAACCGAACCAAACAAUAUAGCGUAUUAUUUUUGUGGCAUCCUAUCUUUGUUUGGCGUCCAUUCAAAACUCCACGCUAUUUCAAAUAAAAUCCUGAUCUUAUCAGAAUUCAAGGGGCAUGGGAAGGUUUUCUUAUUUACCUAAAAAUUAUAUAAAAAUAAAAUAAUUAAUAUGCAGAAGGACUCUUGGUCCUUUGCAUGCUACUUUUAUUUGUCGCACAAAGUUGGCAUGCCCAAAGUCCAAGCCCCUUUGGACGCUUUGAUAUAGGUGUGAAUAAGGCUUGGGGAUGCCUAAACUUGGCUACCCCCUUUAGGCUCGAUCCAAUCAAGAUCCUAUACAAAUAGGUAAGCCCAAUUAAAUAAGGUUUA
rnacentral:lncRNA from 1 species